ensembl:lncRNA
AAAACACACUCAUCAUGAAUCUAUAUAUAGUGACAUCACGUCCUACUGCAUCGAGAUCAGGACUCCUCCUCAAACAGACUCAUCAGGAAUCUAUAUAUAGUGACAUUUUGAAACAAACAAGGUGAGAAAGGAGAACUAAACAGACACCGGGUUGACAAAACUUUAAGAACACCUGUUCUCUUUCCACGACAGACUGACCAGGUGAAAGCGGUGAUCCAUUAUUGAUGUCACUUGUUAAAUCCACUUCAAAAUCAGUGUAGAUGAAGGGGAGGAGACGGGUUAAAGAAGGAUUUAGAAGCUUUUCGACAGUUGAGACAUGGAUUGUGUGUGGCUGUAAGAGCCUUCGAACGGGGUGUGGUAGUAGGUGACAGGCGCACUGGUUUGUGUCAAGAACUGCAAUGCUGCUGGGGUUCUCACACUCAACAGUUUCCCGCGUGUAUCAAGAAUGGUCCACCACCCAAAGGACAUCCAGCCACCUUGACACAACUGUGGGAAGCAUUGGAGUCAACAGGGACCAGCAUGCCUGUGGAUCGCUUUCGACACCUUGUAGAGUCAACAUGGACCAGCAUCCCUGUGGAACGCUUGACACCUUGUAGAGUCCAUGUCCCGACGAAUUGAGUCUGUUCUGAGGGCAACUCAAUAUUAGGGAAGGUGUUCUUAAUGUUUUGUUCACUCAGUGUAAAUUCUCUUCUCAACAUUACACUGUACACUCCAGGUCGACUGUUAAGCUCUUAGUAUUCCUUAUCUACCUGUUAAAUAACCAUAUUGAAGUAAUCAUUAAUUCAUUAAUGACUUCCCCCAUCAGCGGGGUUCAGUCUAGUCCAGAAGAACAGGUUGUUAGAUUGUUAGAUUGAGUUCCACAUCAGCAGGGUCCAGUCUCGUCCAGAAGAACAGGUUGAGUUCCACAUCAGCAGGGUCCAGUCUAGUCCAGAAGAACAGGUUGAGUUCCACAUCAGCAGGGUUCAGUCUAGUCCAGAAGAACAGUUUGUUAGAUUGAGUUCCACAUCAGCAGGGUCCAGUCUAGUCCAGAAGAACAGGUUGUUAGAUUGUUUGGCUUGUCUUCCUCUGUCAGAGCAGCUAGUAAAAGUCAAGUAGUAUUAAUUAUGAAACAUUUUCCCACCGAGAAGCUGUUCAACACAACGUUGACUCCAUAUGGACAACCUUAAAGUGACCGUGUAGUCUGUCUCUGAACCUCAACUUCACAGUUUGUUGCUAAAGUAGUGCAUCGUUUGGCUUCACCACAGCUGUCUGUUAGAGAGUCAGUGUUCAGGUGGAAACCCAGGUGGCUCCUGGUAAUUGGGAGUCAGAGAGUUCAGGUAGAAGCCCAGGUGGCUCCAGGUAAUUGAGAGUUCAGGUGGAAGCCCAGGUGGCUCCAGGUAAUUGGGAGUCAGAGAGUUCAGGUGGAAGCCCAGGUGGCUCCAGGUAAUUGGGAGUCAGAGAGUUCAGGUGGAAGCCCAGGUGGCUCCAGGUAAUUGGGAGUCAGAGAGUUCAGGUGGAAGCCCAGGUGGCUCCAGGUAAUUGGGAGUCAGAGAGUUCAGGUGGAAGCCCAGGUGGCUCCAGGUUACAUGGUUGGAAGCCCAGGUGUCUCCAGGUUACAUGGUUGGAAGCCCAGGUGUCUCCAGGUUACAUGGUAAUUCUCUUUAACAAUGUUAUUGCCAAUAGAAGAAGAAAAGUGACCCAUCCAUAUUUCCAGGAUGGGAAGGCACUUUGGUGACAAGUCUCUCCGUCUGAAAUUCCACCCUAUCCCCUCAUCAGGGAAUUAGGUGCCAUUUGGGACACACCCUGACAGGAAUAUGUAUUGAGCUGGUCUGUCAUCGUUGUGGUAGAUGGGUGUGUGUGUUUUAACUUCCUGGUCAGUCAUCGUUGUGGUAGAUGAGUGUGUGUGUUUUAACUUCCUGGUCAGUCAUCGUUGUGGUAGAUGAGUGUGUGUGUUUUAACUUCCUGGUCAGUCAUCGUUGUGACAGAUGAGUGUGUGUGUUUUAACUUCCUGGUCUUUGGGUUGUGCAUCUUAUCUACAAAUCGUCUCUGAAUGUAAAAACGGAGGUUUUAUCCAAGAAGGUUGUGUUUCCC